rnacentral:rRNA from 1 species
CCUAGGGGAGGCAGCAGUGGGGAAUAUUGCACAAUGGGCGCAAGCCUGAUGCAGCCAUGCCGCGUGUAUGAAGAAGGCCUUCGGGUUGUAAAGUACUUUCAGCGGGGAGGAAGGCGUUGUGGUUAAUAACCACAGCGAUUGACGUUACCCGCAGAAGAAGCACCGGCUAACUCCGUGCCAGCAGCCGCGGUAU